AUGCCUUUUUGUCUGAGUCCGUUUCGUCUGAUGCCUUUUUGUCUGAGUCCGUUUCGUCUGAUGCCUUUUUGUCUGAGUCCGUUUCGUCUGAUGCCUUUUUGUCUGAGUCCGUUUCGUCUGAUGCCUUUUUGUCUGAGUCCGUUUCGUCUGAUGCCUUUUUGUCUGAGUCCGUUUCGUCUGAUGCCUUUUUGUCUGAGUCCGUUUCGUCUGAUGCCUUUUUGUCUGAGUCCGUUUCGUCUGAUGCCUUUUUGUCUGAGUCCGUUUCGUCUGAUGCCUUUUUGUCUGAGUCCGUUUCGUCUGAUGCCUUUUUGUCUGAGUCCGUUUCGUCUGAUGCCUUUUUUUUCUGAGUCCGUUUCGUCUGAUGCCUUUUUGUCUGAGUCCGUUUCGUCUGAUGCUUUUUUGUCUGAGUCCGUUUCGUCUGAUGCCUAAUUGUAUGAGACCUGACACCUGACGUCAUUUUUCCUGAGACCUGAAGCUUUUCAGUCUGAGGCGCGAUGCCGUUUUGUCCAAUGACUGAAGCCUUUUAGUCUGAGGCAUGACGCCUUUUCAUUUAAUGACUGAGGUCUGAGGAUGUCCUAAAAUGUACACCGUACAUAGCACGUUACAGGGCAGUAAAAUCAGCAGUGAGCAGUUAAAUAUUUGCAGUGGUAAAAGUUAUUAAUUCCCAAAGAUUUUAAUUAACAAUCCACAGUGUUAAACAGUACUCGUGUUCAGUGUUGUUAUAUGGUGUUCUGUUCACUUUUACACUAAAAGUGCGAAAUAAAAAACCCGCCGAAUUGUCUGGACUCCGCCCUUCAGUGACUGCUGCCUCGCGAAGCGACAACGCCAUCUUUUCUUCGAGCGACCGAGACGGUAAGCUGGACUGCUUUUCUCUUGAUAAAAGUACAUUGGAAAAACAUUUUUGUUGAUAAUAUAACUCGAAAUAUGAUUUGGUGGUGAACACAUUUAGAAAUUACUAACCGCGAGUGUUUUGUCAGGUUUAGUGUUAAGUUCGUUCGUUAAUUUAUGUUAUAACGUUAUGCUUCUUUUAUUUUUAGUUGGUGGACACGUCCUCUCGCCUCUGUUCCCUCCUCGGCCUGGGGUUACUGCGAAUCUGGCGCUGAAGACUGAAGCUGCUAACGUUAUAUUCGGUAGGUUUUCUACUAAAAUGAGAGAAUUCAUCAAAUGGUAAAUGAAUUUGUUUUUGAAAGGAUUGAGUGCGGCAUUUCGCUGUUUCCAUGCUUUGAAACGGUAAUAGUGUGACUGUUAAACAUUACGCGCUAACAACUUUUUUGUGACGCAUAACACCGUGUUGAAGUGUGCUUCUCGCCGCUGCAGAUGUGCAGUCUUUCUGCAGACAGAGCUGCUAUAACGAGGAGCAUUUACCAAACAUUUGAUUGACGUUAUCUAAUGCAAAAGUCUGAAAUUAGAGCACGUUUAAAAACUUCUAUUCGCUACUGUCUUGCGUUGCUUGUUCUCAGAGCUGAUAGCAUGUCUGUCGUGUCGUCAUAUCUGCGUCAAGACACAAACGCGCUUCCGUGAAGUUUUUCUGUUCCCUCGGUUUAACAAAUCGUUUAUAAACUGACGGGACGGAUUGCAAAACCGUCGCCACGGAUUGUGUGUUUUUCUCCUACAGUUGACGUGCAGUGCUGCGUAUGAAUGUGAGUUAAAGGUAGGUGAAACUGUAAAUCUUCAGUUGUGUUUCAAAGAUAACAAAAGUCUUGGCUGAGUAAACUGAUGAAAUUUUCAUUUUUUAACGAAUCCUGUAAUAAAAGUAUAUGGCCAUAUGUGUCACCCGAGAUGCUGCUAAUGUCAGGUUGUGAACAGAGCCACUGUGUGACUACACAAUCAACUUAGCAGAAUGGUUCCUGAGAGAGACGUUGUCAUUAAUUGUUUUUCUUUUUCUUUUCUUUUUUUUUCAAGAAGCCAAGUUCCUGGCUUCUCCCAAGACCUUCAAGGAUCCAGUUGACCUCUGAAUCAGCUGGUAAGAAGUAUGAAACAGAUCGUCUAAGUUUAGGCUAUAUUUCAGAAUAAGAAUAUCUAUAUUCAUGUUGUAUCUAUAUUCUGUGUUCAUGCAUUUUUUGCUGAAUUUGUCAUAUCUGUUAUUUAGAAUGGGACAGUAAAUUUGAUGAUUUUGUGUUUUAUUAAUUACUUUGUUUCUGUGCAACACUUAAUGAAUGUGACUGACUAAUUAACCUCUACACAUCUGGUAUAUGCUUUAAAGUUGCCACUUUGCCCAUUUGUUCAAUAAAUGUUGAAAUGUAUACAUCUGUCUGAAGACUUUCCUGAUUUUAUGUCUAUCCUUUUACAUUAACUUUAUUUUUAUCAUAAUUAACAUUAUUUUUUUUGUUUGCACUGAAAAGAGGACAUUAUUAAUUACGCUUAAAACAACAGCAGAGGUGUUAAAUACCCCAUAGUGUAAAAUUUGAACAGCAAUAGCAUGUGUAACACUUUACACUUGGAGUGUAAUUUUUCUAGACAUUGUUUAAAAUGAAAUGUAAAAUGUGAAAAUGAAAAGGAUUUAAUUAAAUUCUGAUUUUAAUU
rnacentral:lncRNA from 1 species